GAGAGGGAGGUGAAAAAGAGGAUACCAGGGAGAGAGAAAGAGACAGAAAGAGAGAGAGGGGGGAGAUAGGGACAACACCUCAUCAAGGAGAAAAGGACAGAGUAAAGAGUUGUAAACUACACACAAUACUGCAUAAACAUGACCUUGGCAGCAUAUCGAGACAAGGUGAAGGAGCUCCCUCUAGUGUCACUUUUGUGCUCCUGCAUCAACUCAAACCCUGCAG